AAUUAAUUGAUCAUGUCACUCUCUCCAUUUCAACUUCAUAAUUUGAUAUCAUUAAAGAAGCAAAUUAUCGAAAAGAACAUUACUUUGCCAAUUGACUAACUAGCGAUGUCAAUUCCUUUUUUUUUCUUUUUUCAAGGGGAAUUUUUGACAUUUUCAGAACGUUACAUUAAUUAAUAUUCAAAUCAUUCAAUCUUGGAUGGCCCGUUGCAUAAUAUCUAUAUUUCUAUUGGGAAAUGGUAGACAAUAUGUAACACCUACACAACAAUUAAGAAAUGAAUUAUCGUGGUGUCUUCCCGAAAAUAAUCAUGCAAUGGGGGAACCCACCUCUAACGUUUCCAAAAGAAAUGUCAUUUGGACUGUGAAACAUACAUAUUUGGUGAUUGUAUUGAAAUCUUGACUGGAUCAAAAAAAUCCUGAAAAAUUAUAUAUGGGAUGGGCCUAAUGUUUUUGGUAGAGGGCAAGUAUUAGAAAAAUAUUUGGCGUGCCUUCUGAGUUUGGGAGCUGGAGCUCUCCCUCAAAGCCGGCCACGUUCAUCUAAAUUACCUAUUAACAAAAACUUCUUUGUUAAUUAGAAGAGAAUAAAAAGACAAUUUAGUUUUUUAUCACAAAUUAAAUUAUGAGCAGUAAUGUAAUUUCCUGCAAACCAAAUUUACUAUUUUUUUUUA
rnacentral:lncRNA from 1 species